ACGCCUCCGAAGGCAUGAUAAACGAUUGCAGCAGCUCAGGAGGCGUGCUAGGGAUUAGAACUGAGUCACUGGACCACACCCCAGAGACUAUAUAAUAGAGGGUGGUAGCCAGUGAUCCCUGUGACGAACAAAAAUAAACCUUGGAUAGUCACUAAAGCCUCGUCCGAAACUGCUGAGAGGAAUAUUAUUUCUGUUGGACUCUUAGAAAAAACCAAGAAGAACAAGCUGAACUUGAGCAGACUGCAGUUACCAAAUCUGGAAUUCCUGUAAUAUAGCUGGGAAUUUGGGCUGAUGCAGUUACUUCUCUAUCAUCCAUCCAUACCUUUAGGCUGAAAGGAGCAGCUGUCUUAGCCAAUAGCUACCUAAUGGCAGGAAAAGGACUAUGUUUGUAUGUCACUCUGGUAGGCUUUGCUUAAGCUGCUGUAGAAGAUAUUAUCUUGCACCCAAUUAAUUGGGAAGAUUCAACUUUAUUUUUUACCGUUCAGCUGAAAUUAAAUCUCUGUCUAUGUAGUUUAGUAUUGCCAAUGUGAGCAAAAUGUAGAUUGCUUCUCAAACCAGUUCUUUAUGACAGACAGGAAUACCUGUCUGUAUUCCUGUCUACAUUACAUUACAAUCUACAUUACAGUGUUAAUUGGAAAGG